GAUUUUUCGGUCUGGCUUUGGGCGUGUGUGUGUGUGUGUGUGUGCCCGAGAAGAAAACCAUGCCCGAUGCUGACUGGAUCCGGGAAGAGAAUACAACUCAGCUGACAUCUUUACACGACAGAGGCAGCAAGAAGGGUCAGAAUCAGAAUGUUCUGUGGCAAAAUCUCACUCUGUAGAUGGGAAGGAGAAAAGAGAGACCGGCACGUAGCGGGGCUGGAUAUCACACUGCCAGACAUUUGCAUGGAUUUGAAGACCACGCUGUCUGUAAAAGCUGAUGGAGCCCAAGGAGAACUCAGGCACCUAUAUUAUCUUGAACAGCCUCCAGAAGAUGUGGUGGCCAGGUAGUCUGCAUCAUUACCCCCAAGAGGUCUCGUAAAGGAACAAAACAGGGACAAUUGAAGCAUAUUCUUCUCAAGCAGCACAAUACUUUUGUGGCGAGAGCUGAAGGAAAUGCAUUGUUUGGAUUAGAAUAUUUUUUUCAUUAACAGGAUGUUCAAAAUAAACAAAAUUACUUGAUUCACAGUGCCUGUGGCUGUAUCAGGUUAACACUGACGUGCUUUCAUACUUGAGCUCAUCUUCACUAAUCAAUCAGAAACACACUUGCUGGCAAGAAAGGUCACAUCAUUAAUCACACAACAGCAACGUUUUGACAACAAACAGGUAUCUACAUACAGCCAAAUUUCACUCUCAGUUACAGAGGUUUAAUGCGCAACAUACUGAAGAUGAUGGGUGCCAGAUAGAGAGAGAGAGAGAUGAAGCUGCAGUGUCUCCCAUAAUUACACCUGUGUAUACCAGGUACUGUAAACUAGAGCAGAAUUUGUCCCAUUCAAUUAAAUCAGAGAUCAUGAUAUUAUGCCCUCCGUAUACACUUGUAUCUUGGAUUAAAUUCAAGUUGAUUGAAUGAAAGGAGAAUGAGAUAAAAUGUAAUGUAUAGGUGGGCACUGGCCUGAUCUCUUUGGUUCAGGACCAAAGUAUUACUGUUCAUAUUGAAGAAACACCAUAGUGAGCAUGAUGCUACUGGAGGUAUCAUCUUUCAGAGGAUAUAUAUAAAAAAAGUCCUCGACUUCUUUGGUCAUUGAGGAUUCUAUGACAAAGGCUGUUAGCCCCAGUCUCCUGACUGGAUUACGUCUCAGAAAAUUAGAGUUACUAUUCUCAUUAAUAGAUUACAAGGCCAGAAGGGACCACUGUGAUCAUCUAGUCAGACUCCUGUAUAAUGAAGGCCACAGAACUUCCCCAAAGUAAUUCCUAGAGCUUAGAAAAAAAUUCAAUCUUAAUUUAAAUAUUACAGUAAUGGAGAAUCCCCACCAUGACUCCGGGUAAAUUGUUCCAAUGGCUAAUUGCCUUAUUUCCAGUCUGAAUUUGUCGAGCUUCAGUUUUCAGCCAUUCCAUUCCAGCUGGAUUGAAAAGCCCAUUAUAAAAUUGAAGAGUUCAUUGUAGUUACUAUCCUUCUACUCCUAAAAACUCUGAGUGCCAUUUCUGCACAUAAUGGCAAUGUAUUUUAUCAGUGGGUGAAGAGAAUCCUGUAUGUACAAUCAUUGGGAUCAAAAGUAUUUAAACAAUAAGAAAUUAUUAUAAAUAUAGUUUAACUUUUCUAGGCUAAACUCCAUGAUCCAUGUAUGGCCUUCCUCCCCUUUAAUUUUAUCUGGCUCCAAUCUUUACCACAGAUGAGGAAGAGAGAAGCAGCUAUGUUAUGGGCUAUAGAGUAGAUUCUGAGGCUAUGCUAAGGGAGAGGAAAACAUCUGUAUCUCUUCAAGUGGGCACUACCACAGCAUAGGGUAUUUACCAGAGUCUGUGUCAGAGUGCAGUGCAGUAAUCCUCAGCUAGUGGAUAGUUCCUUUGGGACUGUAGCUAGUGGUUGUAGGUUAGAAGUUAGGUUCCUUGAAUGCCAUGGUUGGAGCUCAGGUAGAAUUAGGCAGAGAAGCAGGGAGCCAUAACUGGCUCUUCUUAGGCUCUCCUCUGUUGGCUGAACAGAUCUCUGUCACCUCAGAGAAUCGGGCCCCUUCUUUACUCUGGAUGAAAUCCAGGUCCCAUUGGGUAUGUCUACACUGCACUACUCUGAUUCAGGUUUCAGCCCAAGCCCCCCUUCCAUCCACACACAAAUUAGUCUGACUCGGAUCAACAAGCACUUAUGACCUAGGACCCUGCUAGGGUCAUGGGUCAGAGCCCGAGUCCUGCUGUGACUUGGGUCUAAGCUCUGCCAUUUUUCAGUGUGGAUGUAGAUCAAGUCGCAGACCUGACUCAAAAAGCCUGCAGUAUGGAAGCAUGAGCAUGGCCAGACCUAGGUCCGGCAAUGGAAAAUUGUGAUUUACAAUGCAGUGUGGAUGUUCGAGCAUGGGCUUGGAAACACCAAAUCCACAAGCUCAUAUCCCAAAGAUCUGAGCUGAGCAUAGAGUAUAGACCUACCCAUUGAAGACAAUGGUAAAAUUCAUAAUGACUUCAAUGGAUUCAUGGUUUUACCUUCAGGCUGUUGUGGUAUGUGUACACUGCAUUGUAAACCCAGGACUGUGAGAACUGGGCUUGUGGUCUCAGUGUUUCUAAGAGAUUUUUGGUAUGAAAAGAAGCACAUAUUACAUUAUCUGCAGCACAUAUUGUGUGGCAUAACACACACAUAAGUGAGACUAAAUUGAGUUCUGGGCAUCAUUAGCUUAAUUAAAAUUGUGAUUUUUGUCUCAAACCUACAGGCCAUUGUUGUAUAUGGCGAGGGGUGGAGGGGCCCGCAGUGGAGGGGGAGCAGAUGACAUAAGACAGAAAAUAGUUCUCUAGUUAAAAAUUAGUUGCCUAGGCUAAAAAUAUGAUCAAAUGAGGUCUACAGUAUUUUAUAAAGAGCUAAGAGAUAGCAGCACUUAAAGCAGUGCAAAAUUUGCAUUUUGUUAAUUUCUAUUCAUGUUUUUACAUGCACUUGCUUUCUGUAUGCUUGCCAGUCCAAUGCACUGGUACAAUCCUCACAUUUUGAGAUCAUCUAGGCUCUCGUCAAACUACAGCUGAAAGUGUACUAAAGACAACUGUGUUUAACCAUGGUUGUUGCUAGCCAUGCUUUGAUGAUAAAUCUGGGCGAGCCACAGCAGUGUAACUAUAGUGGGGACAGAGCCUUACACUAUAUCUUCUUUCUACAUUUAAAAAUAAAAUUGAAAGAUUAUUUUUUCUCCAAGUCAGAUUCAAGGAUUAAAUAUUCCUUUAGCUGAAGCCGUAAUGUGGGGAGACCCAUGUUCAGUACUCUCUCUCUCUCUCUCUCUCUCUCUCCCACUCAGAUCCUGGCAGCAGAGGUCAGUAGCACUAUGUAGAUGCUCUGCUCCAUUGCACUGAGAGGGGAAGGAGAGCAUCACAUUACUCUGCAACUUCACCUACAGGCUGUUUGAAGAACAAACAGCGAAUUAGAAGACCGAAGAAGUCCUUUAACCUUCUGACCCCUGCACAGCUCUGUUAGCUAGUAGUUUUUUUUAUGCAUAGUGGUCAAUGCUAAAUCCCAGAGUAGAAUUUGGAUAUUACCUAUUUAAGGGCUUGAUCCUGGAGUUUGUACUCAUGUGAGUAAUCCUACAUGCAUGAGUAGUUUGACUGACUCACAUGCAUAGGAAUUACUCAUGUGAGUAAGAGUUGGGGUCUUAAUGGAAUCUAUUCUCCCUCCAGUACAUGCAUUUAAGUCUCAUUUGUGCUCAUGGGAGCUAUGCAUAUUCAACAAGGGGAGAAUAGAUUCCCUUAAUCUGAUGAAAUGCAGGGAAUUUGAUUGUCAUGUUUGAUUUAAUGAUACGUUGUUGAGGGUAGAAUGGGCUGUAAUGUUCAAAUUAUUCUAUGGAUUUAGCCCUUUUGUCUGUGUGAAUUUUCCAGGAACAGAUCAUAUUUUUUACAUAUUUGUUCUUGGUUCCAAAAUUGAUUGCUGAAUUUUUAUACAAACAAAUUUCAGCCUGGCAGCUGUUUGUGAACUUGUGCUAUGACUGCUUCUUUGAGAAUUCUGUGUCCCAAAUAAGAAGAAUUGUUGUGGUAGAUGUCUCAGCCUGUAUACUAUAGAAUUUCAUGGACCCAAGUCAUCACUGCAUUACUCCAGUUUUAUGUCAUAGUAAGUUCACUGAAUGGAGUUACAACUGUAAAACUGGAGUAAUGUUGUGAUGGAUCAGGCCCAGUGUCCAUUGGUGUGGUGACUGUCCUUCCCACAUACAACAAUAUACUGUAUCUACCAUGCACAUUCAUUGAAUUUGCCAGUCUACAUUUCCUGAAAGAAGCCCUUUAAUGAACACUUGAAGUUUAGUGGGUUUGAUGCGAAUAUUUGCUACGUGUUGGAAUAUCUACCUGUUGGAAAAGUGUAGAAUAUUACACAAUAAAUAUAAGAAAACUGGUCUGGUGCUGACUCAAAAAUCAAUGGAUGAGUGGAUAGGUAACCACCAAUUUAGAAAUGCAGGAAAUCUUUGUAUUAUUGCUAUAAAAGUGGACCCCAGAUUUUUUUAAAAAAUCCUUCUGCCAAAGAGAUGGAGAGAGAGAUAUUAAGCCACUGGAAACAGACUAAAAAUUGACACAGAGGCUGCAGUGGCUUAGUACAUUCGACAGAGCAAUGACCCAAAAGCAAGGCAUGAACGGAGUCGCCACGUGAAGGGAGUCACCACAGCAUCACCAAUGUGCAAACAACAUUUCAGAGUUAGGGAGGUCCUUGUGGGACAGCCUACCAGACUUUGGCCUCGCCAUCAUUGUUCCUCCCAGCUUUAGGAAGAGAAACUUGAAGCUAGGAUACCACACGUGUGGCAGGAUACCAAUGUUGCAUCUGACAUUACUGCCUGUGUGUCCAUCAUCUUUCACAUAGCUGUACAACACCAACCCACCAGUUGCUCCAAACAAUGCUGAGAGAAUGGCCUUCAUUAGAACAAACAAAUAAAAUGGCUAUUUGACACUUCUAUUGCAAAUAAAAUUUUGUGACACUUUCUGCUUCUACAUACAUUCUUGGAAACAAAUAUUUGCUAGUACAAAUGUCCACAAAAAAGAGAAGGAAAGAGCUAGUGAAUGCUGUUGCAGAAAAAUUCUAAUUAGAAUCCACAAAAUGUUCAUGAAUAAUAUUCCUUCCUAUCUGUCUAGCUCUAGUGCGGAAUACACUUUGCCUUAUGCCAUUACUGACUCCCGGAAACAAUAAGCAAUAUGAAAAUAGAAACAAUUUGACAAUUAAUUACAUCACUACCACCCCUUUCAAUUAGGUCCUCCAUUUCUUUGGUAUACUGUAAAAUUUAACUCAUAAUUAUGCUUUAAUUCAUUUUUGUUUAUUUAACACUACAAUACGAUCAAAACAGAAAGCCAUCAGAAUGCAAAAUGCUAGCUGCAUUUCCAUGUUGUAAAUGUUGUAUUUGAGCUUUUAUAACAAAAUGUAGUAUUUUGUACCAUUCUGUUUAAAAUGUAUCUGGCUAAGCUCCAAUACUCUUUCACUGUAAACAGGAACUUCCUUGGAGGACAAGUAAUCAUACUUAAUGACAUAAAAGAUCAUUAAAAUAAUGUUCCAAAAACAUAGCAAAAUUAAACAUUGCAAGAUUAUUUUCUUCUUUGAAGUCUUUCACCAGAUGGUGAAAAGUGCUGAAAUCAUAAGUCUGAGUGGGAAGGGAAAAUGUUUCUACAAUCCUUUCUUGAUGCUAGUGUCAGCAUGUAUAAUCUUUACAUGUGGCUAUACAAAACUGCAGCUCAGACCUUCUUGGAGUCAAGUGUUUGUGCUCAAGAUAAAUUUCCAUUCUGAGGUGUUCUAAUGAAGCUUGUUCUGAAUCUGAGGCAGGGAAUUCCCUGAUACAUUUCAUUAGCCAUGUCAAACAGAUCUAUUCAUAAAUGAGAACAAAUAAGCACAUCAGCAGAAGUUAUUGGGGUAAUUUGGAAACUUACUGACCUAUUUUCAGACAUCAUAUAAAGGAAGAGCUAUGUCAUUAAAUUAGUGCACUAUAAUUUUAUUUUGAUACAGGAAUAGAGUUCAUAUUUUAUCAAAAAAGAUACCCUGAUGCAUCUGUGACUUGAAGAUGUGUGGUUAAAUAUUUAAAUGAAAGAGGGUCUAAUGGCUUCCUUAGAAGAAAGAGCUUAUGCACCUAAUGAGGAAUAGAAAAAAGAAUGUGCCAAUUGCUGUACAGUGUGAAGUGACCACAAAGCAAGAGUGAAUUUGUAUCUCUUAGCACUGUUCACAUUCUUGUUUGACGAAUUCUACAAAGUUGGCUUCCAUAAUAUUCCAUGGACUGUUUUUGUGGACUUCCUGGUGGAAAAUGUUGACGAAUUUAGCAUGAUUUUGUAGCAGAAGUGGACAAAAAUUAAUAGCAAUUAAAAAAAAAUAGACUACAUUGUGGGUAAAUGUUCCCUAGUGCAAGUUAUACGGUAUGGAUGGGAUUUUUAAAAGCUGUCAGCUUUGGCUUAACUCUGCUCUUAUUGAAGCCAAUGGAAAUUUCAGCAUUGGCUUCAGCUGGAGCAGAGUUAAGCCAACACUGAGUUCUUUUGAAAAUUCAACCUCACUUCUUCAAACUUUCUGACUUUAACAUUUUAGGACUCUAAAAGCCAUAUUGUUCCUUAUGUGGCCUAUUGUGCAUGUGGCUCAUUGUGCUCAUGGCAUUUCCUAUGAAUUCUUUCCGCUAAGAUUGGGUUUUCUUACUAUUAAAGUAAUAAAUCCCUGCCCUGAUAGCCACAUCUGGAUCUUGAAGGAACCACAGGACUCACAAGAUUAUGAGCUUGGAGGCUCUGAGCAUAGAAUCAUAGAAUAUCAGGGUUGGAAGGGACCUCAGGAGGUCAUCUAGUCCAACCCCCUGCUCAAAGCAGGACCAAUCCCCAAUUUUUGCCCCAGAUCCCAAAUGGCCCCCUCGAGGAUUGAACUCACAACCCUGGGUUUAGUUAGGCCAAUGCUCAAACCACUGAGCUAUCUCUCCCCCGCCAUCUGCCAGGGCUCCCAAUUUCUAACCUCCCCCUGGCAGCAUCACUCCUUUAGGAAGCCAAAGACUCCUUUAUUGACUAACCUAUGCAUAGGAGUUCUUGUUCUGAGCUGAAGCUGUUAUGAACUUGUAAUCACAGACUGGUUUGAAGACUAGCUGCUAUCUGAGCCCUUGCUGGAGUUGGGGUGUGUG